AAGUGGACGGAGUUGUUUCCUCGCUAGUGUGGUGUGACUGAAAUUCCCAUGAAAGUCCCUCCUUAAAUUCACUGCAACAGCCCCGUCGCCUUCCCUGCCAAAUUCCUAUGAAGCAUAACGACCUUCCAUGAAAGUCCUUCUUAAAUUCCCUGCAACAGCCCCAUCGCCUUCACUGCCAAAUUCCUAUAAAGCAUAACGACACUGGAAAUCUACGGCCUCCCAUGAAAGUCCUUAAAUUCCCUGCAACAACCCGAUCGCCUUCACUACCAAUCAUGAAGAAACCCAAACUCUGCCCUAUCCCCACUGAUUCACCUCCCUCACAACAACAACAAGAAGAAGACCCUAAACCCUGCAUCCUCCUAUUGCCCAACCACAUCACAGUCGAGAUCUUCUCCAAACUCCCAAUCACCACUCUCAUCCAAUGCCGCUGCGUCUGCAAGUCAUGGAGACAUUCUCUCUCCGACCCCCACUUCGCCCGAUACCUCCUCUCCCUCACGCCCCCUUCGCUUCUCAUCAAGCGCUGCCGCAGCUUCUACCUGGUCGAGCCCCACGUCCGAAACGGCGCCGUAAUAAAGCUCGCCGAGGACCCUAAUGACCUCACCCCUUACCUCGACGUUGUGGGCUCCUGCAACGGCUUACUCGCCGUCAGGUAUAACAGUGGUCAGUUCUACAUUUCGAAUCCAAUUCUCGGUGAGUUUUUAACUCUUCCCAGGCCGAGGGGUAGAAUCAAUUGUUCAUUUGUUUGUGGAUUUGGGUUUAGUCCUGUGAGUAAUGUAUAUAAGUUGGUUAUGGCUUCGAUUCCGAGGAAAGGGUCUGAGGGUGAGGUGGAGGUGAUGGUUUUGACUGUUGGCUCUGGGAUUUGGAGAAGCAUUGGCAGCUCUGUAUACCCUUGUUGGAUUCAGUCAUCUGGGGUUUAUCUUAAUGGAGUUAUUCAUUGGAUUGUUGGAACUGGCAAGCUGAAGCUGAAGCUCGAGAACGCUUUUGUCAUUUGUGCAUUUGAUGUUGAGAGCGAGCAUUUCGAGGAGUUACCAUUACCGCUUGGUUCAUUCCGUGCCGGGAAGGUUGAACUCGAGCUUGGUGUGUUGGGAGGUUGUCUCACUGUAAAUGCUUGUUACAAGAAUACAAUCAGUGUUUGGGUGAUGAAGGAUUAUGGUGUUGCAGAGUCUUGGACCAAAGAGUAUGACAUUAAAGACAAACUUAGAGGCACAUUUCGUGCUCAUCCAAAUGUACCUCGAGUAUUGAGAGUUACAGAGGAGGGGCACGUAUUGUUGUUUUUUAAGCAUGAGCUGCAGGUUCAUAGUCUUGGUAAAAGGGGCCUUGUCAGGCUUGAGGUUGACAGGAUGCCAUUGGUCGUUCACGGGGCAUGUGUUCAUAGUCCAAGCUUUGUUUCACUCAAACAUGCGAUUGCUGGUUAGAGUUCAGAGGUAGUUUAUAUAAAUACCUAGUUAAUCAUUGUGUCUUUGCAAUUUCAAACUUCAUAAUGAUUUUGAAUACUGAUAGGAUGUUUAAGCUGUGUAGUUAUGUUUAACUUGGCCAGUCAAUUGCAGAUUAAUUCUUGGCCAUUGAAUUUUGAUUACUACAUUUUCCUACAUAAAAUUAUCAAGACAUUAGAUAAGCCAUUCUUACAAGUUGCAAAAAAGAGAUUUGUUACACAUUAUACAAUAUUCUAGAUUGUGGUGGUUAUUCGACCUUGCUUGCAAGUAUGAGUCAAUUGUUUCUAUGAAAGGAUUGUGUUUAUGAGUUGGACAUGUAUUGAGAAGCCUUUAUGAUGCUUGAUUUAUAGUAAUAUUUUUUGUAUGUAGUUAAACUGUGAUUACCUUUAAUGGGUGAAAGUAUAUAGGAAUUGUACAUAGUUCUAAGGGAGAGACCCAGAUUCUAUUGAUCUUAUUAAGGUUUGCAUGCACGUUUAAGUUUGUGAUUUGAUUUUGGCCUGCAGUCUGUUGAGUUCUUGUUGGUUUGUAAUCUCCUAAAAGUAUUGUUGCACUUUUUUUCAGAAUAAAACAUGCUAGGUAGUUUUAUAUGAUUAUUUCUGCAUUUUUCAUUAAAUUCCCUAUUAGUGGGAGUGGCUUUUAUCUAUGGUGUAUUCCCCCUGGCUUACCAAUAUACAGUAUGCUGCUUGUUAUUUCAAUAAUGGCACAGUUGUUUUGAAUUGAAUUUGUGAUUCCCUGGAUGUGAAAUUCACUAGGUUUAGGAUAAGUCACAAAUACCUUUUCUAGCGCUCGAUGUAUGGCCUUCUUUGGCUUCUUCUACUUUUGUUAGGUUGUAAAUGCUUUACAGCUGGUGCACAAGAUCAAGAACUGAAAAAUUGAAGGACUGCUGUAUACAAACGACAAAUAUGUAAUCAAUUUAUCUUCUUGCCCAAUGGUAUCUGAUUUCUUAAAUUUCUGAACCUGAUAAAGCUUAAAACAUAUCUACUCCUGAAUCUAGAAAUGAAUGACAGCUGAACAAUAGGGAAUCCACCUUGGAGGGGGUAUUAAGCUCUUGAGCUAGGUUAGAGAAAAUGAUAUUGCUUGCUUGAAUGUGUUCAGAACAAGUGAAUCCUACUGCUUCUAGGGUUCAUCUGGCAACUUUUUCAAUUGGCAUGUUUGACAAGAGUAGUGUUUUGAUGUGUCUUUCUCUUUCUAUCUUUAGGUUCCUUUUAAAUUACCAAAAAAUAUGUUGCUAUUAUUUACCAAUUUAACUGUUUCCACAGCCCUUACAAGAAAAGAUAACUAAAUACCUCCGGUAGUGUAGCUUGAAGGUUUUUGUCAGACCUAGUUACGCAUUUCAUCUUUCCAUGUUUUGUGCAAUUUGGAAGCCGUUUUUAUGACUGAUAUGAUGCUGCUUGUGGGAUUCCUUUCAGUUCCAAUCUCUAAAGAGGGAUAUUCAGAAAGAAGCAAUUACCAUGGGGACAUUAAUAGGAAUUGCACAAGACUAGAAAGGUUUAGAAUCGCGAUGCCAAUCAAUUAGGAGAGCAAGCUGAUAUUAAAGUCAGGUGCUUUAGUAAUGUGGGAGAGACUAACGAUCGGUUGAUGAUUUUAGGUGAUUGAAAGCAUGUUGUCUGUCAUUUGGGGGCGAUGAACAGUAUUUUGAAGAUGUCUACUUUGUAACUGGUUUGCAAUUAUGAGGGGCGAGGCCUUUGCUCCAACUAGGAGUGACUCCUAGAUUCAACUAGCAUAAUGUAGCGAAUCUAAUUUCUUGAUUUUAUCAAAUUGCUCAUAAUUAUGAUUAUGUUCUAACUUGGCUCACUGUAAUGUUAGUAAAACUCUAGAAUUGUUCGAGUAAAUUCAAAAUAUGUGUCUGACCAAAACUCGAGGUUACUUGCUCUAGUUGAAAUAGAGUUUAUAUUAGAGAUA